GGUAGUCCGGAUUGGAGUCUGCAACUCGACUCCAUGAAGUCGGAAUCGCUAGUAAUCGUGGAUCAGAAUGCCACGGUGAAUACGUUCCCGGGCCUUGUACACACCGCCCGUCACACCAUGGGAGUGGGUUGCAAAAGAAGUAGGUAGCUUAACCUUCGGGAGGGCGCUUACCACUUUGUGAUUCAUGACUGGGGUGAAGUCGUAACAAGGUAACCGUAGGGGAACCUGCGGUUGGAUCACCUCCUUA
rnacentral:rRNA from 1 species